AAAUAUAUGAUAUAAAUGAAGUUGUAACGUCCAAUUUUUCAUAGUAAAAUACUAUUAAAAUGAAUAUUACAUAUAUCAUAAAUAACUAUUAUAAGAAACAAAUUUACGAAAGAUCAUAUCUACACUUGUAGAUUUGUCCAAUUUCUCUAUUGAUUCCCUCGACCACCUAUCGCUGAAGUAACUGAAAGAACUGUCUCCAUAAGUUCACACCAAUCAAGUGAUCAUUGCAAAAGAGAAAACAUAUAAGGACAGACAAGAGAAAAGCAAGGGUAAGCUAGAUAUAAAAGAAUUCAUACAAUUAUUUCACAUAACACAUUCACAUAAUUAUUUAAGCAAGAUAAACUAAUUCAGACAUCCUAACAUGUUAUGACUUAGACUUGACCUUCCGGACUUAGAAUGAUUGCUGAGCUAUGGCGGGUCAUGCACUCGUGGUGACCUCUACUGCUUUGCAAAGCCAGUGCUAAUGGAUUUCACCCUACCACACUCACAAGGUUAGUCUGUUCCGGACCUUAAGGCAUACUGGAAGCCCCAAGACUAAGACCUCCUGCUACUCCUCACGACAUGGUUCAAUCCUCUCUACUUGAGAAUGAAAGACCAUUGGAGUUUCAGGAUAACCCCCAAAGACUGAGCUUCCUGUGUAACAUCCCAAUAAUUAUAGUAUUGAACUAUAAUAUAGUUAUUACAUCCUUGAUAUGAUAGAACAAUUAUAGAAACGAGGAAUAAAAGUUUUCCUCAAUUUUAUACAAAUUAUCACUCAAAUUUUAAACUUAAUACAAUCUAAACAUAAAACGAUUAAAAACAAGGAUCUCGUCCAUAUAAGUUAAACACUAGUUAAUCCUCCAUCUAACGCCUGUUCCACCAGCAUCUCAUCACCUUAUGCUCACACCCACCAGAUGAUCAUCGCGGAGAGAAAACACACAACAUAACAAUAACAACCAAACAACAGAUAAAGUAAGGGUGAGCUAAUGCAACAAAAAUAACGUGGUAUAUUUAAAUUAAUAACAUAAUUUCUAACUUAUAAGUCAAAUCACAUCUCAUCACCUUCUGCUCACACCCACCGGAUGAUCAUUGCUGAGAGAAAACACACAACACAACAAUAACAACCAAACAACAACUAAUUUAAAAGAAUUAACUAGCUCCCUUCACCUCAAAAUGGAACUGCCCAGCUCAUAAGACUACCUCCAUAGCACUUUACACCGCAAGGAACUCACAAAGUCCUUCAAACCACCAAAAUUGUUAUGGAAACAACUUUUAGAGUUCAAAAUUUAGCAGAGGAUAGAAAAGGAAAAACACUAGACACAUGCAACCAACAAAGGUUGCAUGUCCCAGUUCAAGAACGACGGAGAACUGGACAGAGCCACUUACUUGACUAAGACCCAAAACUGAUCGACCGGUUUUUAAGCUCUCUACGGUGCGGUUACUAGGGCGCCACCUGAUCGAAAACCCAGUGGCUUAGUGAAAUGUAAUGGAAGAGAGAAGGUAGAGAAAAUGAAGAACAAGUUUUUUAGAGAGAGAUGGGGUUUAAGCUAAUGCACCAAAAUGUUAUAAAAUCUGCUUUUAUGUUCUGUGUGUUUUAAAAGUCUGGUCUCAUUAACUUAGAGCACUUAUCAGCUCUUGACAAAUAUUUUCAGUUCCUCACAGAUGUAAUGUGGAAUAAAAUAUGAAUUAAGUUGGAAUGUAUAUAAAUAAAAUAUAUGAUAAUUACGUGUGAUAUAUGUGUUGAAUUGGAAACAUAAUUAUAUGUUUGUAUUGAAUUUGAUAUUUUAUAUGAGAUAUUAGAUACUGAAUUCACAUGAAGAAAAAUAUU
rnacentral:lncRNA from 1 species